rnacentral:rRNA from 1 species
AUUGAACGCUGGCGGCAGGCUUAACACAUGCAAGUCGAGCGGGGUGAUGGUGCUUGCACUAUCACUUAGUGGCGGACGGGUGAGUAAUGCUUAGGAAUCUGCCUAUUAGUGGGGGACAACAUCUAGAAAGGGAUGCUAAUACCGCAUACGUACUAUGGGAGAAAGCAGGGGAUCACAUGUGAACUUUCGCUAAUAGAUGAGCCUAAGUCGGAUUAGCUAGUUGGUGGGGUAAAGGCCUACCAAGGCGACGAUCUGUAGCGGGUCUGAGAGGAUGAUCCGCCCAACUGGGACUGAGACACGGCCCAGACUCCUACGGGGGGCAGCAGUUGGGAAUAUUGGACAAUGGGGGGAACCCUGAUCCAGCCAUGCCGGGUGUGUGAAGAAGGCCUUAUGGUUUUAAAGCACUUUAAGCGAGGAGGGGGCUCUUUUGGUUAAUACCCAAGAUGAGUUGACGUUACUCGCAGAAUAAGCACCGGCUAACUCUGUGCCAGCAGCCGCCGUAA